rnacentral:tRNA from 1 species
CGGGAAGUAGCUCAGCUUGGUAGAGCACUUGGUUUGGGACCAAGGCGUCGUAGGUUCGAAUCCUGUCUUCCCGA